AGAGUUUGAUCCUGGCUCAGGAUGAACGCUGGCGGCGUGCCUAAUACAUGCAAGUCGAUCGGGCGUAGCAAUACGCUAGAGGCGAACGGGUGAGUAACACGUAGGUAACCUGCCCUCGAGUUUGGGAUACCCAGGCGAAAGCUUGGCUAAUACCGGAUAACGGGAGAAGAGGCAUCUCUUCUUUCUGAAAGGCGCUUUCAAGCGCCGCUCUUGGAUGGACCUGCGGCACAUUAGCUAGUUGGUGAGAUAACAGCCCACCAAGGCAAGGAUGUGUAGCCGAUCUGAGAGGAUGACCGGCCACAAUGGGACUGAGACACGGCCCAUACUCCUACGGGAGGCAGCAGUAGGGAGUUUUCGGCAAUGGGGGAAACCCUGACCGAGCAACGCCGCGUGAGUGAUGAAGGUCUUCGGAUUGUAAAGCUCUGUUGUAGAGGACGAAACACUGGCUCAGGAAAUGGGGUCAGCUUGACGGUACUCUGCCAGAAAGUGACGGCUAACUACGUGCCAGCAGCCGCGGUAAUACGUAGGUCACGAGCGUUAUCCGGAAUUAUUGGGCGUAAAGAGUGAGCAGGCGGCUUGGUAAGUCUGAAGUGAAAGCGUGGGGCUUAACCCCAUAAAGCUUUGGAAACUACCUCGCUAGAGUACGUCAGAGGUCAACAGAACUCCAUGUGUAGCGGUGAAAUGCGCAGAUAUAUGGAAGAAUACCGGUGGCGAAGGCGGUUGACCAGGACGAUACUGACGCUCAGUCACGAAAGCGUGGGGAGCAAAUAGGAUUAGAUACCCUAGUAGUCCACGCCGUAAACGUUGAUAACUAACUAUUCCCUUUGGGAGUGGUGAAGCUAACGCAUUAAGUUAUCCGCCUGGGAAGUACGGUCGCAAGACUGAAACUUAAAGGAAUUGACGGGACCCCGCACAAGCAGUGGAGCAUGUGGUUUAAUUCGACGCUACGCGGAAAACCUUACCAGGGCUUGACAUGGUGAGCAAAUACUUAGAGAUAAGGAAAUGUUCUCAUCACAGGUGGUGCAUGGUUGUCGUCAGCUCGUGUCGUGAGAUGUUGGGUUAAGUCCCGCAACGAGCGCAACCCUCGUCCUUAGUUACCAUCAUUCAGUUGGGGACUCUAAGGAGACUGCCGAUGUAAAUCGGAGGAAGGUGGGGAUGAUGUCAAAUCAGCAUGCCCUUUAUGUCCUGGGCCACACACGUGCUACAAUGGCCGGUACAAAGAGUUAGCGAAAACGCGAGUUCAAGCAAAUCUCAUAAAGCCGGUCUCAGUUCAGACUGGAGUCUGCAAUUCGACUCCACGAAGGCGGAAUUGCUAGUAAUCGCGAAUCAGCAUGUCGCGGUGAAUACGUUCCCGGGGUUUGUACACACCGCCCGUCAAACUAUGAGAGCUGGUAAUGCUUGAAGCCGCUGGCCUAACCCGCAAGGGAGGGAGGCGUCUAGGGCAGGAUCGGUGAUUGGAGUUAAGUCGUAACAAGGUAUCCCUACGGGAACGUGGGGAUG
rnacentral:rRNA from 1 species